GGGUGAAUGAGUGUGUGUGUAUUUAAGAACUGGGAUUGUUGUACAAGUCCCCCCAAAAUAAGCAUAGACAUUUGCUAUUUUGAUCUCAACUUUACUAUUGAAAAUGGAGACUCGGAGGUUCGCAACUGGUUCCAUUGCCAACCCUGUUCAAUUUCGGGACCAGCACUAUGUAACCCUCCUAGAUGCGUGCGUUAAAUCCGGUUCACUGUUCUCUGACCCAACCUUCACCCCGGACCAGAGCUCCAUCGGUAUGCCUACCGACCCAGACCCCAAAAAGGAGGUCAAGUGGCUGCGACCCAAGGAGAUCAGUGCCAAUGCUGUGUUUGUGGAGGACACGACGUGUACCACCGAUAUCUGCCAGGGCCAGCUGGGUGACUGUUGGCUUCUGGCUGCCCUGUCCUGCCUUACCAUGCACCCCAAUCUCUUUGUCAAAGUGGUACCACCUAAUCAGAGCCUGACAGAAUCCUAUGCUGGCAUCUUCCACUUCAUGUUCUGGCAGUAUGGUGAGUGGGUGGAGGUGGUAGUAGAUGACAGGCUACCUGUACGCGAGGGCCGCCUGCUCUUCAGCUACUCCUGUACCCGCAACGAGUACUGGAGCGCCCUGGUGGAGAAAGCCUAUGCCAAGCUGAUCGGGUCAUAUGGGAGUCUGAAGGGGGGUAAUAUCUCAGAGGCGAUGGAGGAUUUUACAGGGGGCAUAGCCUACUCCCUCCCUGUCUCCUCCCGCGCCCCCAGGGUCAUGUGGAAAGCCCUCUCUGCUGCCCUGUCCCGUGGCAGCCUGCUCAGCUGCUUCAUACAGGCUAGUAACUAUCGUGAGAUAGGCACAGUGACUGCAGAGGGACUGGUGAAGGGCCAUGCCUACGCCAUCACAGACACUGACACGGUGAAGAAGCCGGCUGGUGAGGCCUUGUUGCUGAGGCUGAGGAAUCCCUGGGGCUUUGUGGAGUACUCUGGACCCUGGAGUGACACGAGUAAAGACUGGGAUGAUGUGGAUGCUGCUGAGAAGAAAAGGAUUGAUCUGAAAAACAGUGAGGACGGAGAGUUCUGGAUCAGUGCGGAGGACUUCAACAAGCUGUUUGACACAGUGGAGCUGUGUAGUGUGGACCCUGACCCCAUAGUGGAAGAGGACACAUCCACUGACCCCGACUCCCCUGCUGACCCCCCCUCUGCCUGGACCCUCAGCUCCCACAAAGGCUCCUGGGUAUCGGGCUCCACUGCAGGGGGGAGCUGUAGUUACCCUCGAUCCUUCUGGAAGAAUCCCCAGUUCCAGCUUGUCCUUGCCGAGCAUGAUGAUGAUAUAGAGAUGACCCCGGGGGAGAAGAAGGUGGCAGAGAAGCAGAAGGAGAAGGCAAAGCAGUGCACCGUGCUGGUGGAACUGCUGCAGAAAGACCGGAGAAAGAAGGAGAAAAUCAACUUCCUCCACAUCGCCUUCCACAUCUACAGGGUUCCUCCAAAGCUCCGGGGCCUGUGUCUGGACCAGAGCUUCUUCUCUUUCAAGCAGCCUGUGGGGAGUUCUGGGGUGUACCAGCCUUUCAGGGCUGUGUGGAGGGAGGUGAGGCUGGACCCGGGAAACUACGUGAUCCUGGCCUCCACCUACAGUCCCAACCAGCCCGCGGAAUUCUUCCUCCGCGUCUACUCCAAAACUGGCAACAAUCUGGGGACCCAAGACUUCACCUGCUCCACUGGCUUCCUCAUGGUCAUGUCAAUGCCACCAGUCUUGCCAGAGGAUCGCAAGAGAGUACAGAAGACCUUUGAUGAGGUGGCGGGGCCGGAUGACAAGCUGAAUGCUAAGGAGUUCAUGAAGCUGGUUAACUCAGUUAUGGAGAAAGACUACCAGCUGCCACUGGAGACAUGCAGACAGCUCAUCUUUGGAGAGGAAACUGGGGGGCGUAGCAGUCUGACCCGAGAGCAGACAGAGCCUGUGCUGACCUCCCUUCGCAGUCUGCAGGUACGACUGCUAUAGUCCAUCUUCUUCAAGUUUGAUCAGGACUCUUCAGGGACUAUGAGCCCCUUUGAGCUUAGUCUGGCCCUCCAGGCUGCUGGUGUGCAGUGUGAUGGCCAGGUCAUACAGCUGCUGUGGGAGAGGUUUGGCUCUGGGGAGCUGCACCUGCCUUUCCAUGGCUUUGUGGCCUGUGUCACCAGGCUGCGCAAGCUAUUCGCCCUGUAUAAAUCAGAGAGCAACCCUGAGGUCAAAGACAGAGGAAUCAAUACUUGGCUGCUCCGACUCCUGACCGUGUGAGCAUGCUCUGUAAAGGGGGUUCCUGCGUAGGCACUGCAGGGGCAUUCUAUCUGACCAGGAACAUAUGAUAACAUCAUGCCUCUGCCGCUGCCCUCGUCCACACACACACAGGCGCACACGUACACCACACACACAAACAGCCCCUGGCCUUUGUCACCAUAAGAUAUCAGUUAAGUAUUUUCAGCAAUUGAGUCAAGUAUUUUCAGUUCUACAGCCAAGUAUUUCUUUAACCUUUCAUUAUUUGAGUUUUAAAUAGUGAAAAUGUAGUUGAUGCUCUGUAGUUGAAAUGUAUCCAAAAAUAAAAAAUGUUGUAAAAAUGAA